CACGUAGGGUGCGAGCGUUGUCCGGAUUUACUGGGCGUAAAGAGCGCGCAGGCGGUCGUUCAAGUCGCGUGUGAAAGCCCCCGGCUCAACUGGGGAGGGUCACGCGAUACUGUUCGACUCGAAGGCAGGAGAGGGAAGCGGAAUUCCCGGUGUAGUGGUGAAAUGCGUAGAUAUCGGGAGGAACACCAGUGGCGAAGGCGGCUUCCUGGCCUGUUCUUGACGCUGAGGCGCGAAAGCUAGGGUAGCAAACGGG
rnacentral:rRNA from 1 species